CAAGAAGGAAGUGAGUGCCUUCUCUCUUCCUCCUGGUCUCUGCUCUGGAGUCGCCAUGUGAUCCACCGGCAAGAGAGGGUGCCAGUGGAAGGCAUUCUCUCAUUUUGCCAUUCUCUGCCAGCUGGCCACCACAGUGAAUGUCUACAGAUGCUUCUAUAUCCAUCAGGGACUCGAAUUUCUCAAAUCUUGCAGGUGGCACCUACUCUUGUUGGGGACCCUACAGAGCAAACAUGUGGCUAGCCAACUAAGUCUAGGAGGCCAAAAUGAUCAAGAGGAAGGAUUCUGCUUGCAAAAGUAAUAAUGGCAUUACAAACCAAAAAUGAGGAAUGGUGCAAGGCUUAAGACAUGGGCAGAUAUCCUGAGGACUCAACUGAAUGGAACCCUGAGCUUUGGAAUUGCCAGGAAAUAAUGCAAAAAUCUCAAAUGAGCACAAGCUAUAAGAGUGCAAUGUUGAAAGUGUGGGGUUUGCACUCACAGAAGUUGAGAGGUCGAUGUGAGAACAACACAAGUUGUCCAUCAAAAUUUGAGUGAAGCAUUGUGAAACAACUUUGGAUUUCCAUAUACAUGAAAAAGAAAGUCCCCCUUUGAGCCCCUCUAUCCAUCCUCACCAACAUCAACCCUCUAUGUGGAGUGAAAGCAUGGACCUCCCUAAUUCCCACCCACAUUCCAGGGGACACCAGC
rnacentral:lncRNA from 1 species